UUCGGCUCAGGUCAUGAUCUCGUGGUCUGUGAGUUCGAGCCCUGCGUCAGGCUCUGUGCUGACAGCUCAGAGCCUGGCGCCUGCUUUGGAUUCUGUGUCUUCCUCUCUCUCUCUCUCUCUGCCCCUCCCCCCCAAGCUCUGUCUUCUUAAAAAUAAAUAAAUGUUAAAAAAAAAUUUUUUUUAAACAGUGGGGGUUUCUAAGCAAGGACAGACACAACACUCUCUGGGACUCAGGGGGCUUCCCCCUCAUGCCCCUCUCUAGCUGACAGCUACACCUGAGCCAGCCCAGUGCCCAGGGAUGCUAAGGUAGGGCUCAGGGUUCAUGGAGCCAAGGGAGGGGCUGGGCUUCCUCCGACCAGACCAGCCUAAUUAGUAGCAUGAGGACAGAGAGAAACUAGGGAUCCCAAAAUGCCUCAACUUGUAUCUAGAUUCAAAGUCCCACCCCCCUGUGAUGGUGGGGCCUUGCAGCCCCGAGGAAGUCUCAGGGUCUCUCACCAUGGCCCAGGUCCCAGAAGGAGCCAGGGUGCCUUCCCAGCACAAAGGACCUGUGUCAUGCCUAUUUAAUGAUGGCCCAUGUGAAAUGAGGCACCCUAACCAUUCUGCCCAAAGGGCCUCUCCCCCAAAUCUGGUUUAGGCAUCUCCCCCUCGGGGCACUGGGGAUAGCUAAACUGGGCUGUCGUCAAGCAGGAAUGUAUAACUGGAACCAAAGUGUAUUCCAGAAGUGGCCUGUGACAAUCCCCAGGGAAGGACAGAGAAGCACCUGGAUGGCACAGAGGAGAAGCUGGAGGCUCUAGCUGGAGCCUGGCCAAAAAUGAGUAGUGGGUGCACACCCGCCUCUAUACGCCCACAGAAAGCAGAUCAUUUGCUCCUUUAACAAUGAAAUAUUUCUAUUUUAAAAUGGGAGCAUGCCUUCAGACAGUGAUCUGCUAUUAUACACAUCAUCUGACCAGCCCAACAUGACCUUCCUUCUUCCUGGCCCAAGCAGAGCUCAGUGAAAGAAGUCUGAUUACCAUUAUGGCAGAAUCAUAAGCCACCAAUUCUUUUAGAGCUUGCAGAACAAAAGAGACUCAGAGGUUGUCUUAGCCUAUGGAGAACACAGAACCCUUCUUGAGGGUCUGGAUUACCCAGGGGUAUAACAGGACCACGGAGCUUCACAACUCCUUUGCAAAGACAGGCUGGCCUUGGACUCUGAAAAGAAAAUGCCAGUUCUCUCUUACCUUAGCUCUGGGGCAGGCUUGAUGCAAGUCACAGACUUGGAACAAGUUGUUGGCCUCGCACAACCCCAAACAGCAUUCAGGAAUGCCACAUGUUUGCACCACAAAGCAUCACUGCGUGGUCCAACAAGAAAUCACUUGUGCACUGUGAUCACAGAGAUUUUCACCUGCAGGGGCACCAGCCUCUCUCUGCUCCUAAGGACACCUCUCUUCUACACAUGGGGUUCUCUUUGCCUCCUCUUUCCCAUUAGGACAGCCAACCCACCAACCAUCUCCAACCUCUGUCCAGAAUAAAAAUCAGCUGUGCCCGCACCACCAUGAUCCCCAACCCCAACCUGUCCACACUUGGUCUCAUCCACAGAAGGCCUAGCAUCCAGCCAAGGGGCGCUGAGGUGGCCCAGUCGGUUGAGCGUCAGACUUCGGCUCAGGUCAUGAUCUCACGGUCUGUGAGUUCGAGCCCCUCAUCGGGCUCUGUGCUGACAGCUCGGAGCCUGGAGCCUGGAGCUUCGGAUUCUGUCUCCCUCUCUCUCUGCCCCUCCUCCACUCACGCUGUCUCUCUCUCUCUCAAAAAUAAAUAAGCAUUUUUUUACAA